AUGGCAACUAUUCCACUUUGAUAUUAGUCAGAGAUGAUCACGAGAAGCACCAUUUCAGUUUGUUAACACUUUAUUAUGAGGUUUCAGUCAUUAACAUUUGUUAACUAACAUAUGAAAUGUUAUUUAUGUUAUUAAAUGUUAUUUAUAAUACUAAAUAUUAAGCAUAAUAUAAAAAAAUACUACCAUGUUCUGACAGAAAGUGAUUAAAAUGAUAAAAAAUACGCUGUUUUAAAUUUUUCAAAGUUGCCUCUUUAAUUUUUGUCAAUAACAUCAAAUUUAUAAUUUUUUAUAUCAAGUAAUAUUGAAGGCACCCUUCAUUCUGAAGGUCUUAUUAUCUUUCCCCUGUUAUAAUGUCAGUUUAUUUAUUUAUUCAUUUAAUUAUUUAUUCAGACCUGUGAAGCUAAAAAAAAAAAAAAAAAUCUGAUAUUCUCGGCACACUAAUUGAAAAACAAGGGAAAAUACACAUUUAAUGAGAAAACAGAAGCAGCAGGUGGCUGCAUGCAGACCUCUGAACAUGUUGAACAGAUUCGUCCAAAAUAAAUGCUUAAUGCUUUAUUUUUUCAUUUUUGUCGGAGUGCUCAAGUGUCUGGCUUUUAUUCAUGGAGUUUUCUGGAGACUUAUGAGGGUCUGGUUGAUCUAGAUCUAUUCUUUUUCUGUCCUACAUUCUGUUGUUGACUCAAACUGUUCUUGUCGCUCACUGGCAGAGUAAACUCAAGGACUGUUUGCCGUGUGUUAAUAAGUAAAUGAUGAUAGCACACAGGGUAGAAAGUUUCCCAUGGAAAUGCAUGCCGUUUGCAUUCUUUCUGUCUUUGUUUCUUGCACGCACAUACAUUAGAUACAUGCUUUCAUCUUCAAACAUAUAUGUACACAUGUUGCAUGUGUAUUACUCUCAGUACUCACACAUGCACUCCCACUCUGGAUAUGUAACUGUUUUCCAUGUUCCUCAUUUGCGCUGGGAAUCCCAACACAGUCGGCCAGGAACCCAAAUCAAGACGAUACAAAGGUAAAUGGGAUGCUACAGUUUUAUCAGUGAUUUGAGUCUGUAGAACAUUUGACUGAAAAAAAAAAAAUAUAUAAUAUGUAU
rnacentral:lncRNA from 1 species